rnacentral:rRNA from 1 species
GACGAAGCGUGCGAACGUUGUUUGGAAUCACUGGGCUUAAAGGGCGCGUAGGCGGGCCACCAAGUCUGGGGUGAAAGCCCCCGGCUCAACCGGGGAAUUGCCUGAGAUACUGGUGGUCUGGAGGGAGGUAGGGGCAGCGGGAACUUCCGGUGGAGCGGUGAAAUGCGUUGAUAUCGGAAGGAACGCCGGUGGCGAAAGCGCGCUGCUGGCCCUCUUCUGACGCUGAGGCGCGAAAGCUAGGGGAGCGAACGGG